ensembl:lncRNA
GUAAUGCUGCAUAGAGGGAGUGAAUCAGAUGUGCUACCCACCCCAUACAACAGAGAAGUUACGAUGGGCCUGUGUUUUUCUCUUGAAGCAAGUUAAUCUGGUUCGGUGGCGUCAGAUGGCACAGGUUGCUGUGCUUGCUGCACUGGUGGCCUUUGUGGUGCAGGUGAUUAAGCAAAUGCAGUGGAGGAGUGACUGUUAAUGAUGUCUUGAUGCAUUACAUUGUCGAUAUCUUACUUUAUGGAGGUGAAGAUUGUUGGGAACCAUAUGACUAAUCGACUGGCACUAAAUGUAAAAUCUUGUAUAUAAUCACACAAGUUCAGCUGACUUUCGACAUUCCAGAUAUUGCAGUUGCUUCUCAACAGGCUGUCCUUCAGUUUUUUGCUUCACAAAACAAUUGAUGGACUGGAGUCGUUUGGAUUAUUGUGAUGUUUUAUCAGCUGUUUGGACUCUCAUUCUGACGGCACCCAUUCACUGCAGAGGAUCCACUGCACUUUUGAAACAGUUGCAACUUAAGUCUUAAAGAAGAUUAAGGAAAACAGUCCGACACCAUGACCUCAAGAAAGCAGCCCGGAAAAUGGAGCACAGCUGGAAGAAAACAAAACUAGAGGUUUCACACUGCAUAGAGGGAAAGUACCUUAAAAAUGGCUAUCUGCUUACUUAACAAACACAAUCUCAGGUAUAUAUUCAGUACAGUGGCUAAAUUAAAGAAAAAUAAAGCAUCAACAGGUGCUGACAUUUCAAAGCAUCACUGCAGUAAUGACUUUAUGAACUUCUUUACUUCCAAGAUUGAUACUAUUAGAGAUAAAAGUAUAACCAUGCAGUCAUCAUAUACAGUAUUGCAUCAGAUUGCGCACUAUAGAUCCCCUGAGGCACAAUUCUGCUCAUUCCCUGCUAUAGGAUACAAAGAAUUGUAUAAACUUGUUAAAUCAUCUUAACCAAAAACAUGUAUGUUAGACCCUAUACCGUUAAGCUACUAAAAGAUGUGCUUCCAGAAGUCAUAGAUCCUCUUCUGAAUAUUAUUAAUUUGUAAUUGUCAUUAGGUUAUGUCCUAAAAACCUUCAAACUUUAAACUUCAUCAAUUUGUAUAAGUAAAUGAUGAGGUAUCAGAUUGAUCACAAGUGCAUUAUGGAGUACCAAAAGGCUCAGUACUAGGACCGUUGCUUUUCAUGCUUUAUGUGUUAACCUUGGGAGAUAUCAUCGAGAAACAUGGUGUUAGCUUUCACUGUUAUGGUGAUGAUACUCAUCUCUAUAUUUCUUCAUGCCCUGACGAAGCAUACCAAUUUGCAAAACUAAUGGAAUGCAUAGUUGAUAUAAAAAACUGUAUGAAUAGUAAUUUCCUACUGCUAAAUUCUGAAAAAAGAAAAAAAAAGGUGUUAAUUAUCAAACCAAAAACAGUCUGCGUGUAAAAACCUAACACUUUCUAACACUUGAUGGCUGCUCUGUCAGUUCUUCGACAUGAGUUAGAAACCUACUGUAGGUGUGCUAUUUAAUAGCAAUCUUUCCUUUGAAAGCCAUGUUUCUAGCAUUUGUAAAACUGGAUUUUUCCAUCUUUAGAAUAUAUCUAAAUUAUGAACUAUGCUUUCAAUGUCAAAUGCAGAAACGUUAAUUCAUGCAUUCACAACCUCAAGGUUAGUUUAUUGUAAUGCUUUAUUGAGUGGUUGUUCUGCGUGCUUAAUAAACAAACUCCAGCUUGUCCAAAUGCAGCAGCUACAGUAGAGUUCUUACUAAAACCACAAAAUAUGACCAUAUUAGCCCGGUUCUGUCAACUCGGUACUGGCUCCACACACAACCCUUGGAAAGUGCCUAUCAACAUAAACUUGUUGAUUAUACUGUUGAAUAAAAGCAAUAGUGCUUUUGUUAGAAACUGCACUUUAGCUUGUUUACUAAUAGCUUGAAUAUCUUUAGCCUACAGUAUAUUAGCAGAUGUACCAGCGAUGGAAGUUUUGCAAAACCACUGUUCAUUUCAAAGAUAUGACAAGAGAAAGGGCUGCUUAGCAAAUGAGGUCUGAUGACAUUACCAUAGGUACACAUACUCAGCUUUCAGUUUCAGUAUUUUCUUUUGCAUUAAGUACAACUACCCAGCUAACAAUAUUUGGCUCUCAAAACAUUUGGGGAAGGUCAGUUGGUUACAAAUAAAGAACCUACAGAGAACUUUCCCAGUUUACAUUUGUUUCCCCCAAAAAUCCCAAACGGAAAACCAUAUGGGAACAUUACAGAAAUGUUCUGUGUUUGCUAAUAGCUAGCAACUAAUGAACUCACACACACACACACACACACACACACACACACACAGUACACCUUAUAACUGAAAGUAAUUAGCCUGUGACUCAGAAAUAGUGCUUAUUUGCAGAGAAGUGUUUCUGAGAACUGUGGUAUGAUGCAAAUGUUUUUCCAUUUUGGAAACAUGAAACCUUCCUCUCAUGAAUCUUUGGUCUAUUGCCUUUGAAAUGCUCUCUGCUCCUAACCCUACAGAAGUAUAAGGGGGUCAGAGGUCCCGUAUCUGAAUGUCUCUUGAAAGGAUGCCCUCUCAGUUUCAGAAGGACCCAGAGGGAUGCACAAUGCAGUGAAAAGGCCACGGGUCUCCUGACCCUCAGAUACAUUCCACCGCCCACUGCUUAAGAUAUAUGGUCAUGCAGUGAGCAGGCAUUUUCAUUCUAAAUAGAAAUGGGACAGAAUCAGUUGAGGACCCUGGUUUGCUGAUACUGAUAUGGAAGAACUUGACCAGUCAACCUGAACCCCAUACCACACUUCUUGGAUGUAUUGAAAUGCAGACUGUCAGCCAGACCCUGUCGCCUGUCAUCAGAGCCUGACCUCAAUGAAACUCUUGUGUCUUGUCUCUUGUGAACCGUGAUCCAGCGUUUACUGGAAAGCCUUCACAGAAGAGUUAAUGCUCAUGGUCAACAAGCACAAAUAGUAUGAUGUUCUGGUGUCGAUGUACAUUUGGCUGUCUGUUUGUACAAACUAAUACGGUAGUUUAAUCAAACAAUUUUUUUUUUUUUUUGGGUACCCUUGAGUAUGAACAGGCGAGUUUUCUGGGCCAAGCACUUCAUCACCCUCCCCUUUGUCCCCCAAUUUUCUGUUUUUGGCAGAGCUUGAAGGCUUUUACAUAAUCAAGCCAGACACUGUGAGACUGAUUAAGAUUUUGAUUGCAGGAGAGGAGGACGAGGACAGAGAGCUCACGCAUGCAUAUUCAUCCAGACAUCCAUCUUUUGUUUGCAGACAUUAUAGGGCACAUCACAAAUAAUCAAAGUCUUUUGUAUUCUAACUUUUUACACUGUGUCCUUCCAAAUAAUUCCAAAUACUUUGAAUUUUUUGGUUUCUUGAAACAUGUGUUUCCAAUAAAGUAUCGACUCUAACCUGAAGCUAA